GACGAACGCUGGCGGCGUGCUUAACACAUGCAAGUCGAACGAUGAACCAGGGCUUGCUCUGGGGAUUAGUGGCGAACGGGUGAGUAGCACGUGGGCAACCUGCCCCAGACACCGGGAUAACCAUUCGAAAGGAUGGCUAAUACCGGAUAUGACCACUUCGGGCAUCCGACGGUGGUGGAAAGGAUCCUGGUCUGGGAUGGGCCCGCGGCCUAUCAGCUAGUUGGUGGGGUAAUGGCCUACCAAGGCGACGACGGGUAGCCGGCCUGGGAGGGCGACCGGCCACACUGGGACUGAGACACGGCCCAGACUCCUACGGGAGGCAGCAGUGGGGAAUAUUGCGCAAUGGGCGAAAGCCUGGCGCAGCGACGCCGCGUGAGGGACGAAGGUCUUCGGAUUGUAAACCUCUUUCAGCAGGGACGAAGCGAAAGUGACUGUACCUGCAGAAGAAGCACCGGCUAACUACGUGCCAGCCGCCGCGGUAAUAC
rnacentral:rRNA from 1 species